rnacentral:lncRNA from 1 species
AAUUUGAACUUCCUCUCAUCUUCAGGAAGCACCUUUAGGUAAACUCUGUCAGUCCAGUCAAGCCUUUGAUUUUCUGAAUAUAUUAUAUCAUUGCCAUAUCCUUCAAUAUUGUUUGGUUCCCUUGCCCAUUUUUGCUUUUCUUCCUUUGGAAGAUGAAAGAAUUGCUUUGAAACUUCUCUCACCUUGUCCAAAAAUGAGCUUUUCAGCCCAUGGUUUAUUGCCUGAAUCUCAUGAAAUAAUUGACAAUAUCAUUACCAAGCAUUAAGCAAUAAUAAAUUAAGUAAUUAAAAAAGAUGAAGGGAGACCUGAAAGCAGCCCCAUGAAUGGAGAGCAUGAUGGAGUUUAGCAAGCUCUUGUAGUGCAGUAGAUGGAGAUGAGAGGCGAUGAAGGUCGAUCACUGGAAUAUUCUCAUCCUGUGAUGGCACAAGAGCAUCUCGAAAUCCGGCACCACCUUCCUCGUAGAUAUAAGUUUUUGGCAGAUUUUCAGAAUUCAAAACCAAAUCUUGGACAGGUUUACCCACUAUCUCUACCUCACUUGAUUCUGCCAUCACUAAAAUGUUCUAAGGUCUACGGAGUGAAGUUGGGAAGAUUCAGUAAUCAGUACCACCUUCCCUAAAGAGGCAAGUUUUAUGUUUUCGGUUGUCGCUACAGUAUCAAUGACUGAUGGGGAUACGUCAGCAUCACCUGCAUCCUUUUUUGACCCUAGAAGACACGUGUUGUUUCUGUGAAAUAAAUCGGACAAAAAUAUAAAGAUUUUCUCUCCUUAAAUAAUUUUUUUUAACGGGAUAUCUCAUGACCGAAGGUAAAGAAUUAAUUAUUAAUAUCUUAAAAUAUUAAAAUUCAUCUAACAAUUGAUAUAUUAUAUUUUUUAUUUUUGACUAAAAAUAUGUGUUUAAGAGAUAAAAUUAUUUAUCAAUCAUCUCACACAUAAUUAAAUCAAUAUUUGUUUAACACCGUAUUUUGUUUUAAUAUACACCACAUACUAUAUCAUUUAUUUACAGCGCAAAUUUUAACAUGGUAUAUUUAUUAUAAGGGAAAAUGUGAAAUAAUGUCAAGUUUGGGUAUGUGCUUUAAUAUAUGAACUUCAAAAGUUUCAAUUUUAUGUAGAAUAAUCUCUCUGUCAAUAUUUGACAAUCAUGAGAUAUGGUUAACUUCCGUCAAAUUAUUUUAUUGUUUAGAUUUUAAUUGUUAAAAUAAAUCAUUUUAUUUCAGAAUCUCUUUUAAAAGACCCACAUCAAGUUAUCAACCAUUAAGGUUACUCUGUCGACGGCACUGAUGGUAUCGCCAUUAACAACUACAAAAAGAAGUUAAAUGCAAUUACCUUUCAACUUUUAUAAUUGUGCAGAUAACCUCCGUGUACUUUCCCGCUGCACACAAAUAAAACUCCAUAGUCCAUACAUCUCAAUCGUAAGUUAUCUAACACAUCAACACGAAUUCAAUUUAUACCAGCGGGCAUAACUUGGAAUUUGGUUAUACAAAUUUGAUUGCAUCUGCAGUCUCUUUUGUUUAACUAAAUUCCGAGAACCAUUCAGCUUCAUCAAAAGGUAAUUUUUGAAGCUUCGAUUGGUCUUUUUCCUUGCUGGUAAUACUGGAAAUAGAUUUCAACAUAAUUUUUCACCGGUCUGUAUAACACUGGCCUUGACUCGUUGACUAGCUUAUCCACUGGUUUAAUCUCUUUUUCUGAAUCCGGGACGCAGAACAUUGCUACUGUGAGCCUUUCCUUCGCUUUAUUUAUCACUACCCUAUGUACUGGGCUCCGGAAGAUUCCAUUGCUCAUUAUCUGUUAAUCACAUUCAAAGGUUCUGAGUCAAUCCUAUAUGUUGUCAUGGGCAAGCUUUUUGAGCUGUAUCAAUCAACUCUAUUGACAAGUUUGCUCUUUGCAUGAAUGUAAUGAUGAAAUUUUAAUGAUAAAUGACGCAGUUAUAAAAUGGUGGUUAGAAAAUAUGUGAUAGAGGAGGAGAUGGAAUGCAUGUUUGUUACUUCAAUUGAAUCAUAAAUGAAUGAGAGGCUUACAUCAUAAAGCCUAAACAAUUGAUAUUCAUCAAUUAAGAUCAAAAUUUAAUCCAAUAAUUAAACAAUGUUAACCCACAAAAUUCCAACUAGAACAAGAAACUUCAGUUAUUACCUCUAUUUGGUCACCGACAUUAAUCAGGAGAGCAUCAGGGAUUAUUGGAACUUUAAACCACUGAUCAUCUUUGAGGACUUGGAGGCCUUCUACUUCUUUGUCUUGCAACAGAAAAGUUAUGGUGGAUCCAUCUGCAUGUGGCUUCACGCCAAGAACAUGAUCAGGCAUUGGACAUGGAGGGUAGUAGUUGACCCUCACAAUCAUAUUAGAUCUCUCUCCACAUUCGUUUAGGAAGCAAUCCUCUUCCAAGUUCAGUGACUUUGCCAUGGCUUUAAGGAUUACUUCACUUAGCAGCCUUAGGCUUUCGGUAUACUGUAGGACAGUACUCCUUCAUCGAAACAUCCAUGAGAUUAAAAACAAUGUACAUGUGCAAAUGAUAGAGGAGCUAAUACUAGUGUCACUAGCCCAAGAGAAAAGGAGGAAAUUGCUUAUUUCUUUUCCAAAAAAUAAUGCUAUAUAUAAGUCUAAUUUAAUUAGAUAAGCUUCAUAACAAGUAAUUAAUUAUAAGAAAAGAAAAUUAAAAAAAAAUGAAAUGAAUAUAACUUAUCAUCAUAAGUUAAAAUAAAUUCAUGUAUUUUGGUUUUUGAAGAAGUUAGAUGAAAAUAAUUACAAAAAAAGUAAGGUUUGUGAAUUAAUUUUAACUUAUGAAAAAAGUUUUAAUUAUUUUUUAUUUUUAUUUCUUCUCUUAUAAGUAUUUAUUCAGAAAUUUAUUGUAACUGAGACAAUAUUCAUGCUUGUGUAUUUUAAUUUAAAAAUUUAAAACAGUAUAUAGUCUUUUGUUGGAGCUACUAGAGUACUUGCUACAGCUUCAUGCAAAAGAACAACAUUCAGUGUUAUUGACAAGAAUGUAUACCUGAAAUCAUUAGGGGUUUGGGGCCAAAAAUUGAACUUCCUCUCAUCUUCAGGCAACACCUUUAGGUAAACUCUGUCAGUCCAGUCAAGCCUUUGGUUUUUUGAAUAUAUUACAUCAUUGCCAUACCCUUCAAUAUUGUUUGGUUCCCUUUCCCUCGCACAUUUUUGCUUUUCUUCUUUUGGAAGUUGAAAGAAUUGCUUUGAAACUUCUCUCACCUUGUCCAGAAAUGAGCUUUUCAUUCCAUG